GGAACUAGUGGCCCCAUGAAAUUACUGAUAGGACGCAUGGAAGGUAGCUCCGUUUUGUACCAUCAAAAUAUGCAGAAGCCAGACAACAUAGUUUAGAUUGAGCCACCAUUAAAAUCGAUAGAGCAAUAUAUCCCCAAGCAACCAGGAGACAGUGAGCAGGUUAGUUAUACACAACAGCAAACCAAUCUGUGAGUAAAGCGACGCUGAGACUCAAACCAACUCUGAUUCCAAGCAAUACUGUUGGUAUGGAAGGGAACACAGAGAAUGGAGUGGAGUUCACAAGAGCCGAUGAAGCCCUAAACAGGCUGCAGAAAACCUUUCCAGUUGAAAGAGAGCCCAGUACCCAGCAGAGAGGCAGAAGUGGAAAAACAGAUAAGCACACUAGGCUACAAACAGUGACGCCCAAGACCAGUUUAUCGUAUAUUGAGACAAUAGUACUUCACCCUACCCCCAAUACAGUCAAGACUCUAUUGUCCCCAAGAACCUGUUGUUCUCUAAGAAGUAACGAUAGAAUUAGCCAAAGCCAAUGAGAUACAUGGACAUUGAAAAGACAAUAUAAAAGAGGAAAUUAGCACGGAGCCUCCAAAGAGGCUGAAAAUGUUCAUCUCUACAAAUGAUUUACCGGACACCUGGAGAUGUUAUUAUCCCCAACUACAAAGGACUAUUCCAUUUUUUUCUGAAAGGCUCCGCCAAGUGCCAUAUGGAGAGGGAUUCAGAAUGCUGCUGUCUACAAAAGAGGAUGAUGGGCAUGAUUGGGCAGUGACUUAAAAUGUCUGGAAGUUCAAUACGGGUGUUGAGAGAAGACAUGAAAGCAAGGGAUGGGGUCCCAUUUCAUAUCCUUACUGACCAGAAGGUGACAUCAACAAGGUUGAGACUCUGCCAACCGGACCUGAGCCCUAGGACCAUGCCUCAGGACUACCUGGUAUGAUGACUCCUUGCUGUCCCCAGUCCACCUGGCCGUGCUGCUGCUCCAGUUUCAACUGUUCUGCCUGCGGCUAUGGAACCCUGACCUGUUCACCGGACGUGCUUGUUGCACCCUCGACAACUACUAUGAUUAUUAUUAUUUGACCAUGCUGGUCAUUUAUGAACAUUUUAACAUUUUAACAUCUUGACCAUGUUCUGUUAUAAUAUCCACCCUGCACAGCCAGAAGAGGACUGGCCACCCCUCAUAGCCUGGUUCCUCUCUAGGUUUCUUCCUAGGUUUUUGGCCUUUCUAGGGAGUUUUUCCUAGGGAGUUUUUCCUAGCCACCGUGCUUCUUUCACAUGCUUUGCUUGCUGUUUGGGGUUUUAGGCUGGGUUUCUGUACAGCACUUUGAGAAUAUCAGCUGAUGUACGAAGGGCUAUAUAAAAAUAAAUGUGAUUUGAUUUUGAUUUGUUAAAUAAAAUAGUGUGCUUG
rnacentral:lncRNA from 1 species